GUUAUUAUUUUAGCUUUAUACUUUUAUAACGUAUAAGAAAAACGCGACGAGGAUUAUUGAGCCAUUCAAUAAUUUAUUAUCCAGUUUGAUAACUGACUUAGCAAAGUCAAGUUAUUAAUUUAUAUGCGAUAGAAAUAGUAUUUCUAUUAUUUACUUGAAGUCGUGAUUAAUUUUCGACUUAUAAAACGAAUUAUAAAAUAUGUAAUUCGUAGAGAGUUAUAACGAAGCGUCGUUAUUUAGUAGAACCCAAUAUUAGUUUUACAAAUACUUGUAACUUCAAUACUUUACAAAUCAUUAUUUUUCCACUCCCUAAUGUUUCCUACACUAUAUACGCAUCCACUCCACCAAAUUCCAUCAUACCUACCUCCCCACCACUACUUUACUUUUCCCCCACCACAUUAGUGCACCACCAACUGCACUACCUAUGCUCCCCACCAACUCCAAAACUUCACCCAUUCCUUCCAUUUCGCACCAGCAAUCACAAAGAGAAGGAAGACUUGACUUAACUACUUUGCCAAGAUUUCAAGCUGCUCCAGUCCAGUAGUACCCCAACACUCCGGCAGUGUUUUGCAAGGCGAUUUCAGCCAUCCAAACGGUCCGGGCGACAGAAAGUGAAGCCGAAGAAGAAACGACUCCACGCCAGCUUUAAGAACAAUUGAGGUUGAGCUGUGAUGGGCGAUGAAGUGUUGUUGCUGAGUAGAGCUUUUGUCGAACUUAAAGUAGGCUCAGAAAGGAUACAUGUCUUCAUACAUGUAUCUCAGUUAUGCAUUCCGCUGUAAACACUGAUUAUUUUAGUUACACCUUCCGUUGCAAACUCUGAUAAUGUUUUAGCCAAGCCCUAACGAUGCCUUUUUCCUUUUUAAGGAAUAUUUCACGCGUAUUCAA